rnacentral:rRNA from 1 species
GAUGAACGCUAGCGGCAGGCCUAACACAUGCAAGUCGAGGGGCACAUUUUUAUAGCAAUAUAAAAGAUGGCGACCGGCGCACGGGUGCGUAACGCGUAUGUAACCUACCUUAAACAGGGGGAUAACACCGAGAAAUUGGUACUAAUACCCCAUAAUACUAUUAGAGGCAUCUCUGAUGGUUGAAAGUUCCGGCGGUUUAAGAUGGACAUGCGUUGUAUUAGUUAGUUGGUGAGGUAACGGCUCACCAAGACGACGAUACAUAGGGGGACUGAGAGGUUAACCCCCCACAUUGGUACUGAGACACGGACCAA